AGAGUUUGAUUAUGGCUCAGGACGAACGCUGGCGGCGUGCUUAACACAUGCAAGUCGAACGAGAAUCUGCUGAAGGAGGAUUCGUCCAACGGAAGUAGAGGAAAGUGGCGGACGGGUGAGUAACGCGUGAGGAACCUGCCUUGAAGAGGGGGACAACAGUUGGAAACGACUGCUAAUACCGCAUGAUGCAUAAGGGUCGCAUGAUUCUUAUGCCAAAGAUUUAUCGCUUCAAGAUGGCCUCGCGUCUGAUUAGCUGGUUGGCGGGGUAACGGCCCACCAAGGCGACGAUCAGUAGCCGGACUGAGAGGUUGAACGGCCACAUUGGGACUGAGAUACGGCCCAG
rnacentral:rRNA from 1 species